rnacentral:rRNA from 1 species
CGGGGUGAGUAAUGCUUGGGAAUCUAGCUUAUGGAGGGGGAUAACUACGGGAAACUGUAGCUAAUACCGCGUAGUAUCGGAAGAUGAAGGUGUGGGACCUUCGGGCCACAUGCCAUAGGAUGAGCCCAAGUGGGAUUAGGUAGUUGGUGAGGUAAAGGCUCACCAAGCCGACGAUCUCUAGCUGGUCUGAGAGGAUGACCAGCCACACUGGGACUGAGACACGGCCCAG